UCCAGACUCCUACGGGAGGCAGCAGUGGGGGAUAUUGCACAAUGGGGGGAACCCUGAUGCAGCGACGCCGCGUGGGUGAAGGAGCGUUUCGGCGCGUAAAGCCCUAUCGGCAGGGAAGAAGGAGGACGGUACCUGACUAAGAAGCCCCGGCUAACUACGUGCCAGCAGCCGCGGUAAUACGUAGGGGGCAAGCGUUAUCCGGAUUUACUGGGUGUAAAGGGGGCGCAGACGGCAGCGCAAGCCAGGAGUGAAAGCCCGGGGCCCAACCCCGGGACUGCUCUUGGAACUGCGCGGCUGGAGUGCAGGAGGGGCAGGCGGAAUUCCUGGUGUAGCGGUGAAAUGCGUAGAUAUCAGGAGGAACACCGGUGGCGAAGGCGGCCUGCUGGACUGCGACUGACGUUGAGGCCCGAAAGCGUGGGGAGCAAACAGGAUUAGAUACCCCUGUACGA
rnacentral:rRNA from 1 species